CCUACGGGGCGCAGCAGUGGGGAAUAUUGGACAAUGGGCGAAAGCUUGAUCCAGCCAUGCCGCGUGUGUGAAGAAGGCCUUCGGGUUGUAAAGCACUUUCAGUGGGGAAGAAAGCCUUGGGGCUAAUACCCUCGAGGAAGGACAUCACCCACAGAAGAAGCACCGGCUAACUCCGUGCCAGCAGCCGCGGUAAUACGGAGGGUGCGAGCGUUAAUCGGAAUUACUGGGCGUAAAGCGCGCGUAGGCGGUCUGAUAAGCCGGUUGUGAAAGCCCCGGGCUCAACCUGGGAACGGCAUCCGGAACUGUCAGGCUAGAGUGCAGGAGAGGAAGGUAGAAUUCCCGGUGUAGCGGUGAAAUGCGUAGAGAUCGGGAGGAAUACCAGUGGCGAAGGCGGCCUUCUGGACUGACACUGACGCUGAGGUGCGAAAGCGUGGGUAGCAAACAGGAUUAGAUACCCGAGUAGUC
rnacentral:rRNA from 1 species